UACGUAGGGGGCAAGCGUUAUCCGGAUUUACUGGGCGUAAAGCGCGUUAAGGCGGUUGGCAAAGUUAGGGGUGAAAUUUCAGGGCUCAACCCUGAAACUGCCUCUAAUACUGGUCGGCUAGAGUGCGAGAGAGGAAGGUGGAAUUCCCGGUGUAGUAGUGAAAUGCGUAGAUAUCGGGAGGAACACCAGUGGCGAAGGCGGCCUUCUGGCUCGCAACUGACGCUGUAGCGCGAAAGCGUGGGGAGCGAACGGG
rnacentral:rRNA from 1 species